AAGAGGGAAACAACCCAGACCGCCAGCUAAGGUCCCAAAGUCAUGGUUAAGUGGGAAACGAUGUGGGAAGGCCCAGACAGCCAGGAUGUUGGCUUAGAAGCAGCCAUCAUUUAAAGAAAGCGUAAUAGCUCACUGGUCGAGUCGGCCUGCGCGGAAGAUGUAACGGGGCUAAACCAUGCACCGAAGCUGCGGCAGCGACGUUUAUGCGUUGUUGGGUAGGGGAGCGUUCUGUAAGCCUGCGAAGGUGGCCUGUGAGGGUUGCUGGAGGUAUCAGAAGUGCGAAUGCUGACAUAAGUAACGAUAAAGCGGGUGAAAAGCCCGCUCGCCGGAAGACCAAGGGUUCCUGUCCAACGUUAAUCGGGGCAGGGUGAGUCGACCCCUAAGGCGAGGCCGAAAGGCGUAGUCGAUGGGAAACGGGUUAAUAUUCCCGUACUUGGUGUUACUGCGAAGGGGGGACGGAGAAGGCUAUGUUGGCCGGGCGACGGUUGUCCCGGUUUAAGCGUGUAGGUGUGUGUUCCAGGUAAAUCCGGUUCACUUUAACACUGAGGCGUGAUGACGAGGCACUACGGUGCUGAAGCAACAAAUGCCCUGCUUCCAGGAAAAGCCUCUAAGCAUCAGGUAACAUCAAAUCGUACCCCAAACCGACACAGGUGGUCAGGUAGAGAAUACCAAGGCGCUUGAGAGAACUCGGGUGAAGGAACUAGGCAAAAUGGUGCCGUAACUUCGGGAGAAGGCACGCUGACACGUAGGUGAAGUGAUUUACUCAUGGAGCUGAAGUCAGUCGAAGAUACCAGCUGGCUGCAACUGUUUAUUAAAAACACAGCACUGUGCAAACACGAAAGUGGACGUAUACGGUGUGACGCCUGCCCGGUGCCGGAAGGUUAAUUGAUGGGGUCAGCGCAAGCGAAGCUCCUGAUCGAAGCCCCGGUAAACGGCGGCCGUAACUAUAACGGUCCUAAGGUAGCGAAAUUCCUUGUCGGGUAAGUUCCGACCUGCACGAAUGGCGUAAUGAUGGCCAGGCUGUCUCCACCCGAGACUCAGUGAAAUUGAACUCGCUGUGAAGAUGCAGUGUACCCGCGGCAAGACGGAAAGACCCCGUGAACCUUUACUAUAGCUUGACACUGAACAUUGAGCCUUGAUGUGUAG
rnacentral:rRNA from 1 species